rnacentral:rRNA from 1 species
GUCUGCAUGGAGCCGACCUUGAAAUACCACCCUUUAAUGUUUGAUGUUCUAACGUGGACCCGUAAUCCGGGUUGCGGACAGUGUCUGGUGGGUAGUUUGACUGGGGCGGUCUCCUCCUAAAGAGUAACGGAGGAGCACGAAGGUUGGCUAAUCCUGGUCGGACAUCAGGAGGUUAGUGCAAUGGCAUAAGCCAGCUUGACUGCGAGCGUGACGGCGCGAGCAGGUGCGAAAGCAGGUCAUAGUGAUCCGGUGGUUCUGAAUGGAAGGGCCAUCGCUCAACGGAUAAAAGGUACUCCGGGGAUAACAGGCUGAUACCGCCCAAGAGUUCAUAUCGACGGCGGUGUUUGGCACCUCGAUGUCGGCUCAUCACAUCCUGGGGCUGAAGUAGGUCCCAAGGGUAUGGCUGUUCGCCAUUUAAAGUGGUACGCGAGCUGGGUUUAGAACGUCGUGAGACAGUUCGGUCCCUAUCUGCCGUGGGCGCUGGAGAACUGAGGGGGGCUGCUCCUAGUACGAGAGGACCGGAGUGGACGCAUCACUGGUGUUCGGGUUGUCAUGCCAAUGGCACUGCCCGGUAGCUAAAUGCGGAAGAGAUAAGUGCUGAAAGCAUCUAAGCACGAAACUUGCCCCGAGAUGAGUUCUCCCUGAGACUUUAGGUCUCCUGAAGGAACGUUGAAGACGACGACGUUGAUAGGCCGGGUGUGUAAGCGCAGCGAUGCGUUGAGCUAACCGGUACUAAUGAACCGUGAGGCUUAACCUU